GACGAACGCUGGCGGCGUGCUUAACACAUGCAAGUCGAACGGAAGGGCCCUGCCUUUGUGGGGUGCUCGAGUGGCGAACGGGUGAGUAACACGUGAGUAACCUGCCCUUGACUUUGGGAUAACUUCAGGAAACUGGGGCUAAUACCGGAUAGGAGCUCCUGCUGCAUGGUGGGGGUUGGAAAGUUUCGGCGGUUGGGGAUGGACUCGCGGCUUAUCAGCUUGUUGGUGGGGUAGUGGCUUACCAAGGCUUUGACGGGUAGCCGGCCUGAGAGGGUGACCGGCCACAUUGGGACUGAGAUACGGCCCAGACUCCUACGGGAGGCAGCAGUGGGGAAUAUUGCACAAUGGGCGGAAGCCUGAUGCAGCAACGCCGCGUGCGGGAUGACGGCCUUCGGGUUGUAAACCGCUUUCGCCUGUGACGAAGCGUGAGUGACGGUAAUGGGUAAAGAAGCACCGGCUAACUACGUG
rnacentral:rRNA from 1 species